AUGAAACGCUGGCGGAAUGCUUUACACAUGCAAGUCGAACGGCAGCACGGGUGCUUGCACCUGGUGGCGAGUGGCGAACGGGUGAGUAAUGCGUCGGAACGUACCGAGUAAUGGGGGAUAACGCAGCGAAAGUUGUGCUAAUACCGCAUACGCCCUGAGGGGGAAAGUGGGGGAUCGCAAGACCUCACGUUAUUCGAGCGGCCGACGUCUGAUUAGCUAGUUGGUGGGGUAAAGGCCUACCAAGGCGACGAUCAGUAGCGGGUCUGAGAGGAUGAUCCGCCACACUGGGACUGAGACACGGCCCAGACUCCUACGGGAGGCAGCAGUGGGGAAUUUUGGACAAUGGGGGCAACCCUGAUCCAGCCAUUCCGCGUGAGUGAAGAAGGCCUUCGGGUUGUAAAGCUCUUUCAGCCGGAACGAAACGGUACGCUCUAACAUAGCGUGCUAAUGACGGUACCGGCAGAAGAAGCACCGGCUAACUACGUGCCAGCAGCCGCGGUAAUACGUAGGGUGCGAGCGUUAAUCGGAAUUACUGGGCGUAAAGCGUGCGCAGGCGGAUUGUUAAGCAAGACGUGAAAUCCCCGGGCUUAACCUGGGAAUGGCGUUUUGAACUGGCAGUCUAGAGUGCGUCAGAGGGGGGUGGAAUUCCACGUGUAGCAGUGAAAUGCGUAGAGAUGUGGAGGAACACCGAUGGCGAAGGCAGCCCCCUGGGAUGACACUGACGCUCAUGUACGAAAGCGUGGGUAGCAAACAGGAUUAGAUACCCUGGUAGUCCACGCCCUAAACGAUGUCAACUGGUUGUUGGGGGAGUGAAAUCCCUUAGUAACGAAGCUAACGCGUGAAGUUGACCGCCUGGGGAGU
rnacentral:rRNA from 1 species